rnacentral:rRNA from 1 species
AAUGGACGAAAGCCUGAUCCAGCCAUGCCGCGUGAGUGAUGAAGGCCCUAGGGUUGUAAAGCUCUUUCAACGGUGAAGAUAAUGACGGUAACCGUAGAAGAAGCCCCGGCUAACUUCGUGCCAGCAGCCGCGGUAAUACGAAGGGGGCUAGCGUUGUUCGGAAUUACUGGGCGUAAAGCGCACGUAGGCGGAUACUUAAGUCAGGGGUGAAAUCCCGAGGCUCAACCUCGGAACUGCCUUUGAUACUGGGUAUCUCGGGUCCGGAAGAGGUGAGUGGAAUUCCGAGUGUAGAGGUGAAAUUCGUAGAUAUUCGGAGGAACACCAGUGGCGAAGGCGGCUCACUGGCUCGAUACUGACGCUGAGAUGCGAAAGCGUGGGGAGCAAA